rnacentral:rRNA from 1 species
UACGGAGGAUGCAAGCGUUAUCCGGAAUGAUUGGGCGUAAAGCGUCCGCAGGUGGCUGUGUAAGUCUGCUGUUAAAGAGUGAGGCUCAACCUCAUAAAGGCAGUGGAAACUACAUGGCUAGAGUGCGUUCGGGGCAGAGGGAAUUCCUGGUGUAGCGGUGAAAUGCGUAGAUAUCGGGAGGAACACCAGUGGCGAAGGCGGCUUCCUGGCCUGUUCUUGACGCUGAGGCGCGAAAGCUAGGGGAGCAAACGGG